rnacentral:pre_miRNA from 1 species
UUAAUACUCCCUCCGUCCGGAAAUACUUGUUCAAGGAAUGGAUGUAUCUAGAUGUAUUUUAGUUCUAGAUACAUUCAUUGUAUCCAUUUUUGUAACAAGUAAUUUCGAAAGAAGAGAGUAGUAA